ACAGAAGCAAUAACAGUAAAUGCACCAGAAUUCUUGGAGAAUAUUCAAAUACCACAAAGAGCCAGCUAUAUUAGGGUAAUUAUGUUAGAAUUAAGCCGGAUAGCUUCUCACUUGCUAUGGCUUGGACCUUUUAUGGCGGAUCUCGGCGCACAGACUCCUUUUUUCUAUAUUUUUAGAGAGAGAGAAUUAAUAUAUGAUCUAUUUGAAGCUGCUACAGGUAUGCGAAUGAUGCACAAUUACUUUCGCAUCGGAGGAGUAGCCGCCGAUCUACCUUAUGGAUGGAUCGAGAAAUGUUUAGAUUUCUGUGAUUAUUUUUUACGCGGAGUUGUUGAAUAUCAACAACUUAUUACACAGAAUCCAAUUUUUUUAGAGCGAGUUGAAGGAGUAGGUUUUAUUAGCGGAGAAGAAGCAGUAAAUUGGGGCUUAUCGGGACCGAUGUUACGAGCUUCUGGAAUACAAUGGGAUCUUCGUAAAGUUGGCCGGCAUCGAGGAGCUGAUGGUGAGACAAGGGCCGUUCGACGGACUGUUCGGCUUCUCUCAGGGCGCCCUCCUGUCGGCCGCGCUUGUUGGGCUCCAGCAACAAGGGCUGGCCUUGAACAGGGUUCCUAGGGUGAAGUACGUUAUGAUCAUAUCCGGUGCGAAGAUCCAGUCCCCGGCAUUGGCCGCCAAGGCGUACGCCAACAAGAUCAACUGCGCUUCGCUUCAUUUCAUUGGCGACGGUGACUUCGUGAAAGCCCACGGCGAGGAGCUGGCGGACUCGUUCGUGGAUCCGCUUGUCAUACGCCACCCGGCCGGGCACACGGUCCCCAGACUCGACGAGAAGGGCCUCCAGGCGAUGCUCAGCUACCUUGACAAGAUCGAAAGGGAUCUGGCGAGAGAUUAAUCAAUUGUGCUGACCGCCACUCUGUUUCAUGAGUUUAUGGCAUAGCAGACUAGUAGUAGUAACAUCUACUCCCUCUGUUCCUAAAUAUUACUAGCCUUUUAGAGAUUUUUAUAUGAACUACAUAUAGAUGUAUGUAGACGUAUUUUAGAUGUAAAUUCAUCCAUUUCGCUCCAAUGUAGUCCAUAUUAGAAUCGCUAAAAAGACCUAUAUUUAGGAGCGGAGGAAGUAACAUGGAUGACUGACAUUUGAAGACCACGAUAACCGUUUAACACAAGGCUGCGGAAAUGUAUUAGGGGACAGUUCUGAAGAUCAAGAAGGUGUUGGGAUAGGCGUAUGCAAGGGGGCUAGGAGGAUCUGCUUGAGCUCUAUUCUUUUACGUGCUCUGGGUGUGUGAGCUCAAAUAUGAACUUCCGGUUUUUGCUUAGGCCUAGCAGAGCUGUGUUUCAAGCUUCCUGCGUGUAGUUGUUGUCUGUCUGCCUCAUAUGUUCCCAGGCUUUCUUUUUCUUUUUGCCAUUUCCACUCUUUAGUUUCAUGUAAUAGAUGAAAAUCGAUGAGGAGGCUCAUUGUCUCAAAAGAAAUUUGGCGCAAGACAAUGUUCUUAUCUAUAAUUGUGUAACUCAAAACGUCGAUAUUUGUUUAACUCAAAACCGG
rnacentral:rRNA from 1 species